rnacentral:rRNA from 1 species
GUGAACGCUGGCGGUAGGCCUAACCCAUGCAAGUCGAACGGCAGCACAGUAAGAGCUUGCUCUUACGGGUGGCGAGUGGCGGACGGGUGAGGAAUACAUCGGAAUCUACUUUUUCGUGGGGGAUAACGUAGGGAAACUUACGCUAAUACCGCAUACGACCUACGGGUGAAAGCAGGGGAUCUUCGGACCUUGCGCGAUUGAAUGAGCCGAUGUCGGAUUAGCUGGUUGGCGGGGUAAAGGCCCACCAAGGCGACGAUCCGUAGCUGGUCUGAGAGGAUGAUCAGCCACACUGGAACUGAGACACGGUCCAGACUCCUACGGGAGGCAGCAGUGGGGAAUAUUGGACAAUGGGCGCAAGCCUGAUCCAGCCAUACCGCGUGGGUGAAGAAGGCCUUCGGGUUGUAAAGCCCUUUUGUUGGGAAAGAAAAGCAGCAGGUUAAUACCCCGCUGUUCUGACGGUACCCAAAGAAUAAGCACCGGCUAACUUCGUG